rnacentral:rRNA from 1 species
GACGAACGCUGGCGGCGUGCUUAACACAUGCAAGUCGAACGGAAAGGCCCUGCUUUUGUGGGGUGCUCGAGUGGCGAACGGGUGAGUAACACGUGAGUAACCUGCCCUUGACUUUGGGAUAACUUCAGGAAACUGGGGCUCAUACCGGAUAGGAGCUACUGCUGCAUGGUGGGGGUUGGAAAGUUUCGGCGGUUGGGGAUGGACUCGCGGCUUAUCAGCUUGUUGGUGGGGUAGUGGCUUACCAAGGCUUUGACGGGUAGCCGGCCUGAGAGGGUGACCGGCCACAUUGGGACUGAGAUACGGCGCAGACUCCUACGGGAGGCAGCAGUGGAGAAUAUUGCACAAUGGGCGGAAGCCUGAUGCAGCAACGCCGCGUGCGGGAUGACGGCCUUCGGGUUGUAAACCGCUUUCGCCUGUGACGAAGCGUGAGUGACGGUAAUGGGUAAAGAAGCACCGGCUAACUACGUG